rnacentral:pre_miRNA from 1 species
CCUGCGGCCGGCGGGGAAACCGUUACCAUUACUGAGUUUAGUAAUGGUAACGGUUCUGCUGACGGUCGGGCA